rnacentral:rRNA from 1 species
AUUGAACGCUGGCGGCAGGCCUAACACAUGCAAGUCGAACGAGUGGCGGACGGGUGAGUAAUGUAUGGGAAACUGCCUGAUGGAGGGGGAUAACUACUGGAAACGGUGGCUAAUACCGCAUACUAUCAGAUGAGCCCAGAUGGGAUUAGCUAGUUGGUUGGGUAACGGCUCACCAAGGCGACGAUCCCUAGCUGGUCUGAGAGGAUGACCAGCCACACUGGGACUGAGACACGGUCCAGACUCCUACGGGAGGCAGCAGUGGGGAAUAUUGCACAAUGGGCGCAAGCCUGAUGCAGCCAUGCCGCGUGUAUGAAGAAGGCCUUAGGGUUGUAAAGUACUUUCAGCGGGGAGGCGUUACCCGCAGAAGAAGCACCGGCUAACUCCGUGCCAGCCGCCGCGGUAAUAC